GUUACGUGGAAUAUCCGGCCAAACAAAAACAGAUCUUCUUUUUUAAUGAAUAGAGUAGCAUUUCAAUAAACCAUCUCUAAGGUAUCUUUGGCACAUGCGCGUUUCUAGAACAGUUUUUCGACCGCUCGCCUAGGCAUUGUUUGUACACCUAAAGGGAAAUGGGAAAAUCAUUUAAAGCGUUUAAGUUUCUAGUGUAUUUUGUCACGAAAGCCUGUUAGUUUGGUGGGGGCAGUAUAAUGACUCCGAAGGACGCGGGCAAGUAUCGAUUAACUACGCAGUUGGAUUUGGAGGACACGUCUUAAGAUACGUCGUAAAUCAACGGUCUGAUAACACUGGCUUAUAUCUGUGUCUCUUCAAUUGAAUUCCUGAAAUAACAUGUUCUUCAAUCGUUUAUCUACAACCCGCGGCCAUUUUAAUAGUAUUGUGGAAGAAACGAGCCUUGAUCUCUUUCAGUUAAUGGGUUCAAUUUACCUCGGGAUCAUUUUUCUUCAGCAUUGCCCACUAAAAUCAACUUUUUUAAUGUUUCCAAGGAUACGCUGAAGACUGUUGAACCAGACGGCCUAUAAAGAAGCUUUACCAGCCCUUUUUUCCGCGUGAGUACACUAGUAAUGGGGUAAGUUUGUAAUGAAAUACUUAAGUAACUAAUUUAUAAAGUGAAUAUAUAAGUGAAUGAGUGAUAAAGUGACAAUGUGUAAGUGAUUGAUAAAUAAGUCUGUGCAAAGUAAAUUUUAGUUAACUAGUUUAGUUUUAGUGGAGUAUUUAAGUGAAUAAAAAUAUUGAAAAGUUAUUAGGGAUAUAGGGAGUAUUUCCCAUAACUAUGGGGUUAUAUUCUUUACCGAAAAGUAAUUUAUGCAAACACUUGUACAUGGAUUGUCUGAGUUAUUUGAAUUACUUUGUAUCAAAAUAUAAAACGUUUUUAUUUUUUAGUUAAAAAAAAUAUUACAUUAUGCAGUUCGACUCCUAUAAGUGGACUCGUCAACACCUUGAAGUUGUGGGAAAUACUUCCGAGCACCCUGUAUGUAAUAAUAAUUAAUGAAAUAGGUACGUGUUUGUGUGCGUGUGUGUGUGUGAAAAAGUGAUAAACUGUAAUGUGAAAGUUUCAGUUAUUAAGUGAUCGGAUACUAUUUAAACUCGGAUUGUUCUUUCUGUGUUCCGAGUAUUUGAUAAAUAUUAAAUUAUGAAGUAAACCAGUUACUAAACAGUGAACGAAAUAUUUAAAUGAUCUAAAGAAUUAUUUAAGCAAUCGGAAUUUUCGGUAUGACAAAAAAAAAUAUUGUGUUCUUAUUUACUUUAAUUCAAUUAAGUUUAAUAAUUUCGAAUAGGUUUCAGAAGAAUUAAAUAUGCGAUCAGAAUUUCUGGUGAAAAAUUAAAUUUUGUUGUUCUUUUUUAUUCAAUUUGAUUGUUUCAGAUGGCGCUAAACAAAAUACCGAUUAGCUUCGGCGAUGGAUUUAGUACAUGUUAAAUGAGGAUUGAGAAAUUUAGUAAAUUCUUAAGUAGAUAAGUAUUAAAUAUUUACAUAUUAAAUGAUUAAUAGAUAUAGUUAAAUAAUCAGAUUUUUCGUAGAGACUUGAAAUUUUAUUGUGUUCUAUUGUAUUGAAUUUAAUUAUGUCUAAUAAUUUGGAUCAAGUUUCAGGUUGAGCUGAACGAAGUACCGAUUAUCUGCGUAGAUGGAUUUGGUAAAUAUGUUUAAGUUUACAAUCUGCUAAUCUUAAAUCAUUAAUUUAAAUCUCUCUCUUCAGUUGAUGAGAAUGGUGAUCUCCAUGGCAAGUAGUCUCCUGAUAUCUCCUGAUGAAUGUCCCUACCUACCGAUUGACUACGGAGAUGGAUUUAGUAAAUUAUGAUUGAAGAUCGAGGAAUUUAGUAAACGCAUAAGUAGAUAAGUAUUGAGUAUUUACAUAUUAAAGUGAUCAAUUGAAAUAAUUAAGCAAUCAAACUUU